rnacentral:misc_RNA from 1 species
GGAAGUAAAAUCGAACAAGGUUUCCGUAGGUGAACCUGCGGAAGGAUCAUUAUUGUAUAACCGAGGUGCGAGGGCUGUCGCUGACCCGAAAGGUCGUGCACGCCCGAGUGCCCUCACACACAUCCAUCUCACCCCUAUGUGCACCACCGCGUGGGUCCCCCUUUGGCUUGUUCGGAGGGGGGCUUACGUUUUCACACAAACUUUGUAUGCAGUGUAGAAUGUAUUUUUUGUUUUUGCGAUCACGCAAUCAAUACAACUUUCAACAACGGAUCUCUUGGCUCUC